UAUAUCAUAACAAGACUGUCGCUUGCCCUCCGGCUCGUCGACGAAUGAUGGUGUUUCGCGUAAAUGCGUGCUACCUAAAUGAUAUACACUCAACGUGUGAACCAGCCCGGUGCGCAUUCAACGGCAAUUCGAUAUAUUUUAUAUAUCGACUGUCGGAUAGCGUUCUGUGGGAUUACGGUGGGUUGUGUGUCCUAGAGAUAUUAUCAUAUCGAUUUUGCGACCCGACUCCGAUACAACCGGAAACCACGAAACGAUAUUCGCGAAUUUUGUCGGCGCACUCGGACGACUCGAAGGUUCCUCGUUCGUUAUGAGCUCCUAUAAUGUCGCAUGCCGACGUUUAGAAGUUUUAACGUAAACA
rnacentral:misc_RNA from 1 species